UNUGACUUGAGUGCAGAAGGGGAGAGUGGAAUUCCAUGUGUAGCGGUGAAAUGCGUAGAUAUAUGGAGGAACACCAGUGGCGAAAGCGGCUCUCUGGUCUGUCACUGACGCUGAGGCUCGAAAGCGUGGGUAGCGAACAGGAUUAGAUACCCUGGUAGUNCACGCCGUAAACGAUGAGUGCUAGGUGUUAGGCCCUUUCCGGGGCUUAGUGCCGGAGCUAACGCAAUAAGAACUCCGCCUGGGGAGUACGACCGCAAGGUUGAAACUCAAAGGAAUUGACGGGGGCCCGCACAAGCGGUGGAGCAUGUGGUUUAAUUCGAAGCAACGCGAAGAACCUUACCAGGUCUUGACAUCCCGAUGCUAUUCUUAGAGAUAGGAAGUUACUUCGGUACAUCGGAGACAGGUGGUGCAUGGUUGUCGUCAGCUCGUGUCGUGAGAUGUUGGGUUAAGUCCCGCAACGAGCGCAACCCUUAUUGUUAGUUGCCGUCAUUAAGUUGGGCACUCUAGCGAGACUGCCGGUAAUAAACCGGAGGAAGGUGGGGAUGACGUCAAAUCAUCAUGCCCCUUAUGACCUGGGCUACACACGUGCUACAAUGGUCGGUACAACGAGUUGCGAGCCGGUGACGGCAAGCUAAUCUCUGAAAGCCGAUCUCAGUUCGGAUUGGAGGCUGCAACUCGCCUCCAUGAAGUCGGAAUCGCUAGUAAUCGCGGAUCAGCACGCCGCGGUGAAUACGUUCCCGGGCCUUGUACACACCGCCCGUCACACCACGAGAGUUUGUAACACCCGAAGUCGGUGAGGUAACCUUUUAGGGGCCAGC
rnacentral:rRNA from 1 species